AGGGGCGUAGUACAACGGUUAGUAUAAAGGUCUCCAAAACCUUAGAUCGUGGUUCGAUUCCACGCGCCCCUGCCA
rnacentral:tRNA from 1 species